rnacentral:rRNA from 1 species
CACGUAGGGUGCGAGCGUUGUCCGGAUUUAUUGGGCGUAAAGAGCUCGUAGGCGGCUUGUCGCGUCGACUGUGAAAACCCGCGGCUCAACCGCGGGCCUGCAGCCGAUACGGGCAGGCUAGAGUUCGGUAGGGGAGACUAGAAUUCCUGGUGUAGCGGUGAAAUGCGCAGAUAUCAGGAGGAACACCGAUGGCGGAAGGCAGGUCUCUGGGCCGAUAC